CAUUCACGGAGAGUUUGAUCCUGGCUCAGGACGAACGCUGGCGGCGUGCUUAACACAUGCAAGUCGAACGAUGAAGCCCUUCGGGGUGGAUUAGUGGCGAACGGGUGAGUAACACGUGGGCAAUCUGCCCUGCACUCUGGGACAAGCCCUGGAAACGGGGUCUAAUACCGGAUAUGACCAUCUUGGGCAUCCUUGAUGGUGUAAGC
rnacentral:rRNA from 1 species